UUCCUGCACACUUUGCAACUUUGUAGAACAAAAUGCUGAUGAGAAUGAUAAAUCUCCGAGCUUUGCGUGCUCUUGCUUUUUGAUUGGUUAGGAUGUAGUUUUGAAAUCACCUCCAAUUUUGAGCUUUGACUUUGGACUAGUAAAGGUAGUAAAAACAAUAUAAAGAAAGGGAAAUAAACUUCAAAACUGCUUUUUUUUUUCCCGUGCGAGAAGUUCACAAUAAAUUGUGGCGAUGCUUCUCAAAUAAAAUUAGAUUCCGCUGCUGCCUGCUGCUUCCCUCCACGUUUCAUCUCUUUUCUCUUAAUCGCCGGAGCCUCUCCUGGGACACUAGGUAAUCUGAGGGAAGAAUGGCACAUUCAGGCUCCUGGAGUUCUACAGGGGGCUGAGAAAGGACUAUCAGCAGGGAAUUGAGCUGCCUGAUAUUACGUGGUGGAUGAAUGGUGAGGACUUACCUCCUGAUCCUGAAUGUUCAUUUGGAAAGCGAUAGACUCUCAAAAUCAGAAGGGAUCUUGGAAGUCGUCUAUCGAUCAUUCAGGAUAAGAAUUCCCACAGCAGUGUACAUAAUUGAAUACUUCCAAUGACAUGGAAGUCCUUCACCGUGUAAAGCAGCCCCUUCUGUUGUUGGCAAUUCUGAUACUUCUAUUUUAUCCUGAGCCACCUUCUGCCUCCAUGUCCCUUCUACCAACUGUUACUUGUUCUGUCCUCUAGAACCAUAAAGAAUAAAAGAACAGAAUAGGUGCUCAAUAAAUA
rnacentral:lncRNA from 1 species